rnacentral:rRNA from 1 species
ACAUCCUGGAGGUGGAUUCGCUUCCAAGGGUUGGGCUGUUCGCCCAUUAAAGUGGCACGCGAGCUGGGUUCAGAACGUCGUGAGACAGUUCGGUCCCUAUCCGUCGUGGGCGCAGGAAAAUUGAGGAGAGCUGAUCCUAGUACGAGAGGACCGGAUUGGACAUACCUAUGGUGUAUCUGUUGUAACGCCAGUUGCAGUGCAGAGUAGCUAUGUAUGGAAAGGAUAAUCGCUGAAAGCAUCUAAGCGAGAAGCCUUCUCCGAGAUGAGUUUUCCCAUAUUGUAAAAUAGUAAAAUCCCUUGUAGACUACGAGGUUGAUAGGCUAGAGGUGGAAGCGUAGUGAUACGUUGAGCUGACUAGUACUAAUAGAUUGAGGAUUUAAUCAUA